AGGCCCUACGGGGCGCAGCAGGCGCGAAAACUUUACAAUGCGGGAAACCGUGAUAAGGGGACACCGAGUGCCAGCAUCAUAUGCUGGCUGUCCAGAUGUGUAAAAUACAUCUGUUAGCAAGGGCCGGGCAAGACCGGUGCCAGCCGCCGCGGUAACACCGGCGGCCCGAGUGGUGAUCGUGAUUAUUGGGUCUAAAGGGUCCGUAGCCGGUUUGGUCAGUCCUCCGGGAAAUCUGAUGGCUCAACCAUUAGGCUUUCGGGGGAUACUGCCAGGCUUGGAACCGGGAGAGGUAAGAGGUACUACAGGGGUAGGAGUGAAAUCUUGUAAUCCCUGUGAGACCACCUGUGGCGAAGGCGUCUUACCAGAACGGGUUCGACGGUGAGGGACGAAAGCUGGGGGCACGAACCGGAUUAGAUACCCGGGUAGUCCCAGCCGUAAACGAUGCUCGCUAGGUGUCAGGCAUGGCGCGACCGUGUCUGGUGCCGCAGGGAAGCCGUGAAGCGAGCCACCUGGGAAGUACGGCCGCAAGGCUGAAACUUAAAGGAAUUGGCGGGGGAGCACAACAACGGGUGGAGCCUGCGGUUUAAUUGGACUCAACGCCGGACAACUCACCGGGGACGACAGCAAUAUGUAGGCCA
rnacentral:rRNA from 1 species